CAGGGGGUUUGGCAAACAAGGAUUUCAAUGUCAAGUUUGUUCGUAUGUGGUGCACAAGCGCUGUCACGAAUAUGUGACGUUCAUAUGCCCGGGCAAGGAUAAGGGAAUCGAUUCCGUAAGUGUUUCUGAAAC
rnacentral:lncRNA from 1 species